GACGAACGCUGGCGGCGUGCUUAACACAUGCAAGUCGAACGGAAAGGCCCUGCUUUUGUGGGGUGCUCGAGUGGCGAACGGGUGAGUAACACGUGAGUAACCUGCCCUUGACUUUGGGAUAACUUCAGGAAACUGGGGCUAAUACCGGAUAGGAGCUCCUGCUGCAUGGUGGGGGUUGGAAAGUUUCGGCGGUUGGGGAUGGACUCGCGGCUUAUCAGCUUGUUGGUGGGGUAGUGGCUUACCAAGGCUUUGACGGGUAGCCGGCCUGAGAGGGUGACCGGCCACAUUGGGACUGGGAUACGGCCCAGACCCCUACGGGAGGCAGCAGGGGGGAAUAUUGCACAAGGGGCGGAAGCCUGAUGCAGCAACGCCGCGGGCGGGAUGACGGCCUUCGGGUUGUAACCCGCUUUCGCCUGGGACGAAGCGUGGGUGACGGUAAUGGGUAAAGAAGCACCGGCUAACUACGU
rnacentral:rRNA from 1 species